rnacentral:rRNA from 1 species
AAACUUUCAACAACGGAUCUUUGGCUCUGGCAUCGAUGAAGAACGUAGCGAAAUGCGAUAAGUAAUGUGAAUUGCAGAAUUCAGUGAAUCAUCGAAUCUUUGAACGCACAUUGCGCCCGCCAGCACUCUGGCGGGCAUGCCUGUCCGAGCGUCACCUC